rnacentral:misc_RNA from 1 species
GAUGAAGAACGUAGCAAAAUGCGAUAAGUAAUGUGAAUUGCAGAAUUCAGUGAAUCUUCGAAUCUUUGAACGCACAUUGCGCCCGCUGGUAUUCCGGCGGGCAUGCCUGUUCGAGCGUCAUUUCAACCCUCAAGCCCCCGGGUUUGGUGUUGGGGAUCGGCUCUGCCCUUCUGGGCGGUGCCGCCCCCGAAAUACAUUGGCGGUCUCGCUGCAGCCUCCAUUGCGUAGUAGCUAACACCUCGCAACUGGAACGCGGCGCGGCCAUGCCGUAAAACCCCAACUUCUGAAUGUUGACCUCGGAUCAGGUAGGAAUACCCGCUGAACUUAAGCAUAUCAAUAAGCGGAGGA